UCAUGAUUUUAAUUUUGUACACAUACAUAAUUUUAUUUUUUUACUUAAGAAUUAUAGACUUUAGUCGUGUAGAAAUUUCGUAUAAAUACUGUUCGUUCUCCAAGUCUAUUCACAAUUCAAUUGAACAUUCACAGUUAAAAUGGCCACCUUCAACAAGAUUUUCUUCAUUUGCGUUUUGGUACCCGCCUUACUGAUGGCGAUCGUCCUACCAGCAGUUACAGCGGAAGAUUCAGCCGAACAUUCAGUUUUGGUGAAGAGGGGUAUCAAUCUUGCUAAAGUUGUGAAAGUAGUCAAACCAGUAGUAAAGGCACUAGCACCUUUAUUGGCAAACAUCUAAACCGGAAACAACCAAAGCGUACAUUAUCUUUAAAUUAACCUUUGUCAAAUUUCUACAAUAAAUGUUGCGAGCAUAUAAAAAA